UCCACUAUAGGACAAGUGGUUAGACCAUCCGCCCAAGUUCAACUGCCGAAAGCGGAAGGACGGGGGUUCGAUUCCUCCCAGUGGCA